rnacentral:rRNA from 1 species
AGCGAACGCUGGCGGCAGGCCUAACACAUGCAAGUCGAACGAACUCUUCGGAGUUAGUGGCGGACGGGUGAGUAACACGUGGGAACGUGCCUUUUGGUUCGGACUAACUCAGGGAAACUUGUGCUAAUACCGAAUGUGCCCUUCGGGGGAAAGAUUUAUCGCCAUUAGAGCGGCCCGCGUCUGAUUAGCUAGUUGGUGAGGUAACGGCUCACCAAGGCGACGAUCAGUAGCUGGUCUGAGAGGAUGACCAGCCACACUGGGACUGAGACACGGCCCAGACUCCUACGGGAGGCAGCAGUAGGGAAUCUUGCGCAAUGGGCGAAAGCCUGACGCAGCCAUGCCGCGUGAAUGAUGAAGGUCUUAGGAUUGUAAAAUUCUUUCACCGGGGACGAUAAUGACGGUACCCGGAGAAGAAGCCCCGGCUAACUUCGUG